rnacentral:snRNA from 1 species
GGAUGUGAGGGCGAUCUGGCUGUGACAUCUGUCACCCCAUUGAUCGCCAGGGUUGAUUCGGCUGAUCUGGCUGGCUAGGCGGGUGUCCCCUUCCUCCCUCACCGCUCCAUGUGCGUCCCUCCUGAAGCUGCGCGCUCGGUCGAAGAGGACGACCUUCCCCGAAUAGAGGAGGACCGGUCUUCGGUCAAGGGUAUACGAGUAGCUGCGCUCCCCUACUAGAACCUCCAAACAAGCUCUCAAGAUAAACUUUUUGUCCUUGUGUAACAAGAGACAGAAACAAGCAUGUCUGUAGAAACACUGUAUUAGGACAAACAAACACAUAAUAACCACUUAGAAACAACCCAGAUUUCCUUAAAUA